rnacentral:rRNA from 1 species
UAAGGAAUAUUGGUCAAUGGACGCAAGUCUGAACCAGCCAUGCCGCGUGAAGGAUAAAGGUCCUCUGGAUUGUAAACUUCUUUUAUCUGGGACGAAAACGGGAUUUUUAUCUCAAUUGACGGUACCAGAGGAAUAAGCACCGGCUAACUCCGUGCCAGCAGCCGCGGUAAUACGGAGGGUGCGAGCGUUAUCCGGAUUUACUGGGUUUAAAGGGUGCGUAGGUGGGCUUAUAAGUCAGUGGUGAAAUCUCCGAGCUUAACUUGGAAACUGCCGUUGAUACUAUAGGUCUUGAAUUAUCUGGAGGUAAGCGGAAUAUGUCAUGUAGCGGUGAAAUGCUUAGAUAUGACAUGGAACACCAAUUGCGAAGGCAGCUUACUACAUAUAAAUUGACGCUGAGGCACGAAAGCGUGGGGAUCAAACA